GAUGAACGCUGGCGGCGUGCCUAACACAUUCAAGUCGAACGAGAAUCUCGGAGCUUGCUCUGAGAGGAAAGUGGCGGACGGGUGAGUAACGCGUGAGCAACCUGCCUUGUACUGCGGGAUAACAUUGGGAAACUGGUGCUAAUACCGCAUAACACACACCAUUCGCAUGUAAGGUGUGUCAAAGAAUUUCGGUGCAAGAUGGGCUCGCGUCUGAUUAGAUAGUUGGUGAGGUAACGGCUCACCAAGUCGACGAUCAGUAGCCGGACUGAGAGGUUGAACGGCCACAUUGGAACUGAGAUACGGUCCAGACUCCUACGGGAGGCAGCAGUGGGGAAUAUUGGGCAAUGGGCGAAAGCCUGACCCAGCGACGCCGCGUGAGGGAAGAAGGUCUUCGGGAUUGUAAACCUUAGUCAACAGGGAAGAAGCAAGUGACGGUACCUGUGGAGGAAGCCACGGCUAACUACGUG
rnacentral:rRNA from 1 species